AUUCAACUGUAAGAGGUGGGGCAGAAAGAGUAUAAGACAGGACUGCAAGGGGCAGAGAGACACUCGUCUUCUACUGAGGUCCAGAAGACAUCAAGACAACCAGGUAUCAAUCAGUCAGCAUAUUCCAACUAUCAGAGUAAAGGAUGAAGAUCCAGAGUAUGUUACUGCUGUUCGCUCUAGUGGGUGUCCUGUUAGCAAGCUCCCUUAAUGAAGAUAACGCUAAGGAAGAGGAUAGUGCCAUGGAGAAGGUGGAGAAUGGACUUGUGAAUGCCAUUGCAGAAGAUGAAGCACAACGUAUGUACAUAUAGCUAUCUACAUGCAUGCCUCCAUACUUUACAUUUGUGUAUUUUUUAUUUAUUUAACCUUUAUUUAACUAGGCAAGUAAGUUAAGAACAAUCUUACUUUCAAUAACAGCCUAGGAACAGUGGGUAAACUGCCUCGUUCAGG